rnacentral:rRNA from 1 species
UACGGAGGGUGCAAGCGUUAUCCGGAUUCACUGGGUUUAAAGGGUGCGUAGGCGGAUAGGUAAGUCCGUGGUGAAAUCCUGCAGCUUAACUGCAGAACUGCCGUGGAUACUAUCUAUCUUGAAUGUCGUGGAGGUUAGCGGAAUAUGUCAUGUAGCGGUGAAAUGCUUAGAGAUGACAUAGAAUACCCAUUGCGAAGGCAGCUAACUACGCGAAUAUUGACGCUGAUGCACGAAAGCGUGGGGAUCAAACAGG